GUGUCAGCAGCCGCGGUAAAACGUAGGUGGCGAGCGUUAUCCGGAUUCACUGGGCGUAAAGCGCGUGCAGGUGGUUAGGUAAGUCGGGCAUGAAACCUCUUGGCUCAACUGAGAGAAGCUGUCCGAUACUGUCUGACUUGAGGGUGUGAGAGGGAGGUGGAAUUCCGCGUGUAGUGGUGAAAUGCGUAGAUAUGCGGAGGAACACCAGUGGCGAAAGCGGCCUCCUGGCACACUCCUGACACUCAGACGCGAAAGCUAGGGGAGCGAACGGGAUUAGAUACCCUAGUAGUCC
rnacentral:rRNA from 1 species